UGAAUACGAGACGCUAAGGCGUUGAAGUAGUGUAUGUCAUACUUCCAAGAAAAGCUUGCACUGUCAUAGAUAAAAAACGCCUGUACCAUAACCGACACAGGUGGGUAGGUAGAGUAUACUAAGGGGCGCGAGAUAACUCUCUCUAAGGAACUCGGCAAAAUAACUCCGUAACUUCGGGAGAAGGAGUGCCUUAUUUAUAAGGCUGCAAUAACAAGAUCCAAGCAACUGUUUAUCAAAAACACAGGUCUCCGCUAAGUCGUAAGACGAUGUAUGGGGGCUGACGCCUGCCCAGUGCCAGAAGGUUAAAGAAGUUGGUUAGCAAUAGCGAAGCUGAUAACUGAAGCCCUGGUGAACGGCGGCCGUAACUAUAACGGUCCUAAGGUAGCGAAAUUCCUUGUCGGGUAAGUUCCGACCCGCACGAAAGGCGUAAUGAUUUGGAUACUGUCUCGGAGAGGGGCUCGGUGAAAUAGACUUGUCUGUGAAGAUGCGGACUACCUGCACCAGGACAGAAAGACCCUAUGAAGCUUUACUGUAACUUGAAAUUGAAAUUGGACUUUAUUCGCGCAGUAUAGGUGGGAGGCGUUGAUUGUAAUCUUGCGGGAUUAUUGGAGCCAUCAGUGAGAUACCACCCUUGUAAUGUUAGAUUUCUAACUUUGAAUCAUUAUCUGGUCAAAGAACAGUUUCAGGCGGGCAGUUUGACUGGGGCGGUCGCCUCCUAAACGGUAACGGAGGCGUACAAAGGUUUCCUCUGAACGGUUAGAAAUCGUAUCUAGAGUGUAAAGGCAUAAGGAAGCUUGACUGUGAGACCUACAAGUCGAGCAGGGACGAAAGUCGGUCUUAGUGAUCUGACGGUACUGAGUGGAAAGGCCGUCACUCAACGGAUAAAAGUUACUCUAAGGAUAACAGGCUGAUCUCCCCCAAGAGUUCACAUCGACGGGGAGGUUUGGCACCUCGAUGUCGGCUCAUCGCAUCCUGGGGCGGUAGUACGUCCCAAGGGUUGGGCUGUUCGCCCAUGAAAGCGGUACGCGAGCUGGGUUCAGAACGUCGUGAGACAGUUCGGUCCAUAUCCGGUGUAGGCGUUAGAAUAUUGAGAGGAGCCUUCUUUAGUACGAGAGGACCGAGAAGGACAUACCUCUGGUGUACCAGUUAUCGUGCCAACGGUAAACGCUGGGUAGCUAUGUAUGGAGUGGAUAACCGCUGAAAGCAUCUAAGUGGGAAGCCCACCUCAAGAUAAGUAUUCGC
rnacentral:rRNA from 1 species